rnacentral:rRNA from 1 species
GACGAACGCUGGCGGCGUGCUUAACACAUGCAAGUCGAACGGAAAGGCCCUGCUUUUGUGGGGUGCUCGGGUGGCGAACGGGUGAGUAACACGUGAGUAACCUGCCCUUGACUUUGGGAUAACUUCAGGAAACUGGGGCUAAUACCGGAUAGGAGCUCCUGCUGCAUGGUGGGGGUUGGAAAGUUUCGGCGGUUGGGGAUGGACUCGCGGCUUAUCAGCUUGUUGGUGGGGUAGUGGCUUACCAAGGCUUUGACGGGUAGCCGGCCUGAGAGGGUGACCGGCCACAUGGGGACUGAGAUACGGCCCAGACUCCUACGGGAGGCAGCAGUGGGGAAUAUUGCACAAUGGGCGGAAGCCUGAUGCAGCAACGCCGCGUGCGGGAUGACGGCCUUCGGGUUGUAAACCGCUUUCGCCUGUGACGAAGCGUGAGUGACGGUAAUGGGUAAAGAAGCACCGGCUAACUACGU